rnacentral:lncRNA from 1 species
GGCACUCAGAGCUAUGAGUUUUCCUCUUAGCACAGCUUUCAUUGUGUCCCAUAAUUUUGGAGGCCCUGCUGGAGUGCGAGCCCAGGCCCUGGACAGAGAUGGAAAUCUGGUGGACGAUUUUGUGUUUGAUGGAGGAGCCGGUGAGAUUGGAGAUCGAAUUCUUCACGUGAGAAAUGCACCUUCGCCUGCAGCCACUUCUUCCCUGGCAAUUUCUAGAAUGAUAGCAGAGGAAGUGCAGCAGAGGUUUAAGUUAUGAGCGACGGAGGGCGCUGUGCCAGCAACCUUACAUUCUCCACAUCAGCAACAAAGUCUACCAGCUGCAUUUUAAAAUUAGAAUUUAAGAAAACAAUUUUAAAACCAUGCCUUUUAGGCUAAAAUAACCAUUGACUUAUUAGCAGGAUAUAGUAUAUAAUAAUUUAAAAAACAUUCAGGUCCAUAUUCUUGUGAACAAGGAAACAAAGUGUAUCACUACCUGUUCUGAAACUUCAAGUUUACUAGAGACUUAGCCCGAUCUAGAUAGGGCUCUUACAGCACAUUUGGGAAGGCAGCAUAAAAAAUGGACUGUCCCUAAAUAAAUGUUUGGAUUUAUAAUAUUUUUCCUUUUCCUAAAUAACUUUAUUUGGAAGAUGAAAAUGCUUGAUUUCAAGAAAUAAAUGAAAUGUCACAUUUCUAAGUAGCACAGGACAAGCUCCGUCUUUCACUUGCAGUCCCACAGUGCGGUCCAUCGCUCCCUGUGAACAGCAUGUGCCUGUGCUUGUUGCCCUCACUACAGUUCUCUGUGGCUGAGAAAGGGAAGUCCCUGAAGGAACUGUGGUUUUAUAUGUGCACUUUAAAAUCCUGACCCCGGGGGGCGUCACUGUGCAAUUUUAUGUCCCUUGCUCACACUAAGGUUCCCAAGAUGUUGGCCAGGAUCACUAGUAGAUAAUUUAUAUCUAUUUGGGUUUUCAGAAUUCUUUGUGAGGACAUUUCUCCAUUUUGGGUUAAUCUCUAACUUGUAGGCAUUCACUUUUGUAAACCGCAAAAGUGCCUUACAUUCAUACUUACUUCACUAACAUGCUGAGUUGGUGCCAAGUGCCAUAGUGUGUGUGUGUGUGUGUGUGUGUGUGUGUGUGUGUGUGUGUGUGUGUGUGCAUGUGUGUAGUACAAACUGUAUACUGUGUAUAUGUGUGUGCACACUCAUGUUCUAGUUAGUGUCUUACAAUUCAGAAGGGUGAAAAUAGAAAUAUAAGUGAAGAACUGGCAACCUGGCCAUGGAUGCAGCCAGCAGCGCUUAGGGGAGACACUUCUGUGUCCCCUCCUCAGGGUUAAUCUCUUUUUUCCUCACCAACACUGUGAUGGAUGGAUGUGCAUGUUGAUAGGAAAACCUUUUCUUGGUUUUUUUUCUCUUCACUUAGCCCUUGGUGGUUACAUGUACUAAGCUAUCUAAUCUAUUAAUUUAAAAGGAUACAUACUGUGGGCUUCAGGAGGCCACAUACCCCAGAUAAAUAGAUGAGACAGUUAUUCAACACUUGGAACGGACAUUUUGAAACAUUCAGAAACCAUUUACGGGAAAAACAAGCCCUAAUAGUCCUCCAUAAGAACUGGUUCCAAAAGAAACGCACUGCACGGAGUACUUUUGUGUUCUAAGACUUUCGUGAGAAAACAUUGCACUAAGAUUGUUUGACCUCAUGAGUAAGAGCGUUCCUGUUAGAUGUGGUCAGAAUGGAGAUGUGCUUCUGUCUCAUCACGCCAGACCUGUGCACACACACUAAACUGUGAAAGACAAAGUUACAAGUAUAAAACAAAAACUAUCAUGAUAGAAGCAAUCCUUAAUGCUUUUGGGUCUGUAUUGUAUGCCCCAAAAUAAUAGUGAAAAUUGUUGAAAUAUGUCAGUUAAUCUGUUUGUAAAAUAUUUGAUAUUUAUGUCAAUGGGACUUUUUGUUAAAUACUAAUAUAUAAGAAUUUUCAUGUUUUCUGAGAAAAUAAAAAUAUAUUAGUAUU